rnacentral:lncRNA from 1 species
CUUUUUAUUAAUUUUUUUAAAAAUGAAAUAUUAUUAUUUUUUAAUGUUUUUUAUCACAAAUUAUGAAAACCUUGCAGGCUACAUAAUUUGUGAUACACAAUGGCUUGGCAGGCCAUCUUUUGGACAGCUGUUCUAAAAUAUCUUCCAGAAAUAAAUGAAAUUAUAUCCUCAGAGACUUAGCACACUAAUUUGUUAUUACUCUUACUUUAUGCUUAAAGCAAAAUAUUAUAAGCAAUUAUAUGGAGUACAAUCAGCAGCCCCAUGGCAGAAGUAUUAACAGAAAUCUUGAUUAGAAAUGCAGAAAAUAAGAUACUAAUAUAUUUUAUGUCAAAGUGUAAGAUUUAUUACAGAUAUGUAGAUGACAACUUUAUAGUAUGGAAAAAUAUGGAUAAAACUAAUAAAUUAGAGCAGAUCUUCAUGGAUGAUACAUAUGGUUUAGUGCUGAAGAUAGAACAAGUUGACAUGCAGAGCAUACACUUCUUAGAUGUCCUAUUACAAGUUAAAUAAAAUUUGUAUAGCACUAAAGUGUACAGGAAACCAACAUUUAGUCCUGUAUUGAUUCCAUUUUGGUUGAACCAUCUGAUUAGCUAUAAGAAGUUAGCCUUCUAUUCAUAUUUUAGAAAGAAUAUCAUGAAUUGCAGUGAAUUGGAAGAGAGAGAAGGUGAAGUAAAUAUGAUUCUAGAAUAUGGUAGAAGACAAGGUUAUAAAAAUAAUUUUAUAUCAGUAUAUAAAAAGUAUUUAAAGAUAUGAUUGGACAGGAAGAGGAUUUACCUACACACCAGUGUGCUCUAGAGAAUACAUCAGGGGUCUGUACAAAGUUCAUAUCUUAAAAUCCCUUUCUGUAUGAGUAUGUAUAGAACAAUUAAAAAUAUAAUAAGACUGGUAAAAAGAUAGCAUAUAAAAGAGAUCUUCACCAUCAGGAUAGACUAUUUGAAUGUAAUACAGAAUAUCUGAAUAUGAGUGAUAUUAGACAUGGAAGAUUAAUAACUGCAUUAGUAAAGAGAUUCUAUGAAAAUAAUAAUGCAAUAGAGAGAGAGAAGAGGUGAAAAUAAUUAGAGAAUAGGCACAAAAUUACUUAAUGAGAUGUUAGAAAUCAUUAAAAGGGAAGUGAUAUGGAAAUAUAAUCAAUGAUUAACUGACUUAAGGAUAUCUUUAGUGCAUGGAAAUAUGCAGUUCAAGAAAUCAGAUUAAAAAGUUAAAUAUAGAUUUAACUCCAUCAAAAG